GUAGCAGCGGUCCGAGCUGCACGCCACACUCUCCCAUGUCAAUCACAUCAUCUCUCCGUAACUCAUUGGGCCAUUGGUCAGUCUAGCCCGAGGGCGGGUUGUUGGGCGGAAGAGAGAGGCUUCUUCCGGCCUCACUCGGAGUCACCAUAGAGAUGGCGCAUCCAGGCAGCGAAGCGGCAGGGCUGGGCAUCUCAGAUCUCGAACUCCGGGGAGCUGCACAGUCGUCUAGACCCUUGCGAAGCAGACUAAGGCAAGGAUCAUUCUACCCACGGGACAGACUGGGGAAGCGGCCCUGGGUCCAUCAAGUAAACCCUCUGCCGCCAGGCUGCUGGAACUGGAGUUGGCCCACGCUAUUGGCAGACUGCUGUUACCUUACUGCCAACUAAAGCUUGCCAUGACUUUGCUUUGAGGCUGUGGCCUGUUAGACCAAAAGAUGCAUCAAUCAGGACAACCAAAGGAAGUAGGACAGACAGGCUACGUGCUCCACCACUGAAUCAAGAAGGGAAAACAAAAAUCAGUACCAAAUUGGAGAGUUGCACCGUUUGAACCUUUGACCCUAAACAAAAUUCAGAAAUAUCAUGAAGCAAACUAUUCAAUCUUAGAGCACUGAAUCUCUGAUUUAAGGAAUUCACCUGAAUCACAGCUUUAUGAACCAAAAAGAAGAAGAUGCUUGAAUUUCAAGUGCACGUCUCAAAUUUAUUCUACUUUCAAGGCUUCAUUUGCAGUCACAUAAAGUAACCAAUGAUUUCUUGUGUGUUUAGCAACUUAACAUUACUUGGCCCAGUGAGAAGCUCUGUGGCUAAGAAAUCCUUUAUUUUGAUGAAUUCAUUUCACUGGAAUUGAGUGUUGACUGCAGCUAUGUUCUGUUAGGAACUGUGAGGAUAUACCAGAAAUGAAAUGUAUUUCAUUUCAGAAAUGAGAUGUGACUCCUGUCUUAAUAGCCUGUGGUUUUGUAAUGUUAGGUCAACAACACAUGAAACAACUAGGAAACACUUUAAAACAAGAUAUAACAAUGGGCCAACCCUAUUGUACAAUUUCUCCAAAAUAUAAUAAUACUUCAUAUUUGCAGAUCAUUUUGUAGUUUCCAGAGCACUUCUUCCCUUGUAUUAUUUGGGGGAUAUUUUGUUAUGGCUGGAAUUAACGUGUAUGUCUUUAUCAUAGAGCUAGAACUAAUGCUGGGUCGUAGCAUAUGAGUAGGAACAGGAAAGGUGGAAGAGAAUCCAGGAAGAGAAAGUAGUUUGCUCUGAGCAAAGAGGCCAAGGCAAGAAUGAGCACUGAGUAUCUGGAGAAUAAUAGGGAGACAAAUGAUAGAAAGUAAUGUGUAGACAAGUUGGUCAGAACUGGCUUUGAGACCUUAAUAUUUUGGAGGAAAGUGGUCAAAAGUUCAAAGUUUGAGAUUGGAAAAGUUAACUUCCUUACACUUCUAAUGUUCAUACUGGCUUCAGUUAAGCUAUAAAUUAAAAAUGGGCGUGGCUCGACAAAAUUUGAGUCCUGUCCUCUGGCUUUUCUCCUUAGGCAGCAUGAGCUUCACCAUUUGCUUUACCACCUCCACCAACUACCAGUCCCUGCACUCCAUCCAGCCACACAGCCAUAUCAUCUGGUCCAUCAGCAGCGCAGGUGAAGUCUAUGCAGGCCUCAGGGGCUUGGGCUCCCAUACCUCAGUGUCCUUCUCCACAAGCUUCUGGGGUGGCUGGGGGUCUGGAGGCCUGGCUGCAGGGAUGGCCAGGGGUCUGGAAGGAAUGGGGGACAUCCAAAAUGAGAAGGAUACCAUGCAAGGCCUGAGUGACUGCCUGGCCUUCCUACCUGGACAGAGUGAGGACUCUGGUGACUGAGAGUCAGAGGCUGGUGAGCACAAUCUGAGAGCACUUGGAGAAGAAGAGACCCCGGGUCAGAGUCUGGGGGUAUUACUUCAUGACAAUCAAGGACUUGAGGGCUCAUAUCUUUGAAAUUCUGUGUUGUUCUACAGAUUGACAAUGCCGGUCUUGCUGCUGAUGACUUUAGAGUCAAGUAUAAGACAGAGCUGGCCAUGUGCCAGUCUGUGGAGAGCAACGUCCAUGGGCUCCACAAGGUCAUGGAUGACACCAAUGUCAGUCGGCUACAGCUGGAGACAGAGAUGGCUCUCAAGGAGGAGCUCCUCUUCAUGAAAAAGAACCAAGAGAAGGAAGUAAAAGGUCUACAAGCCCUGAUUGCCAGCUCUGGGUUGACCACGGAGGUAAAUGCCCCCCAAAUCUCAGGACCUCAGCAAUAUCAUACAGCCCUCCUGGCCCAGUAUGAUGAGCUGGCUCAGAAGAACUGAGAAGAGCUGGACAAGUACUGGUCCCAGAAGACUGAGGAGCACACCACAGUGGUCACCACGCAGUCCACCAAAAUAGGAGCUGCUGAGAUGACAUUCGUGGAGCUGAGAUGUAUAGUUCAGUCCUUAGAGAUAAACCUAGACUCAAUGAGAAAUCUGAAGGCCAGCUUGGAGAACAGCCUGAGGGAGGUGGAGGCCUGCUAUGCCAUGCAUAUGGAGCAGCUUAGUGGGGCCCUGCUGCACCUGGAUUCAGAGCUGGCACAGGCCCAGGCAGAGGGGCAAUGCCAGGCCCAGAAGUAUGAGGCCCUGCUGAACAUCAAGGUCAAGCUGGAGGCUGAGAUUGCCACCUACUGCUGCCUGCUGGAAGAUGGGGAGGACUUCAGUUGUAGUGAUGCAUGCCCUGGACAGCAGCAACUCUAUGCAAACCAUCCAAAAGACUGUCCAGGAUAGUGGAUGGCAAAGUGGUGUCUGAGACCAAAAACACCAAAGUUCAGAGGCGCUGAGCCAGCAGAAGCAGGGUACCCUUUGGGGAGCAGGAAGCCAAUAAGAAGUUCGGAAGUCACUGGAUGACAAAAAUAAAUAAAUAAAUAAAUAAAUAAAUAAAUAAAUAAAUAAAUAAAUAAAAGAAUGGACAUGAA